ensembl:lncRNA
ACAGGGAAAGGCCAGAAAAAGAGAUUACAUCCAGUGAAGGGCAGUUCCUUUAGUGAUAUUGUCUUAUUGAUCCCAGAGGUCAGAGGAAAAUGGCCAGACUACUUCAAGUUGACAGGUAGGCAAAAGUAAAUCAAAUAACCAAUUGUUACAACCAAAGCAGAAGAGCAUCUCUGAACACGCAGCAUAUUGGACCUUGGAGAUUGGAAAAACAUUGCGUAGUCUGGGACCGAAUAAAAAGGUUUUGCCAAAUUAUUGAACUCCAGCAUCUCUUUUGACUCAUCUGAGAAUGCAUGACGUAACCGAAGGUCACGUAGCCUUGUGCGGCCAACGCCAAGAUUCCUUCCACUUGGUUUACCUGCUCAGGUAAUAACGUGUGACUGCUGCUGCUGUAUCCAUAGCAAUGAACCCCUGCAGAUGCCCUCGACCCAGGCUCCUCUGACGGGCUGAUUAGCAUGCAUGGAUGAGGCCUGAGCCCUUCACUGAUUGGUCCUGUCAGUUCCUGGCAUGGGUUCUGCCUCACCCCUGCAGAAGACCCAGCUGGCUGUAUGCUGCCCUCCCAUCAAGCUCACGCC